AGUGAACGCUGGCGGUAGGCCUAACACAUGCAAGUCGAACGGCAGCACAGUAAGAGCUUGCUCUUACGGGUGGCGAGUGGCGGACGGGUGAGGAAUACAUCGGAAUCUACUUUUUCGUGGGGGAUAACGUAGGGAAACUUACGCUAAUACCGCAUACGACCUACGGGUGAAAGCAGGGGAUCUUCGGACCUUGCGCGAUUGAAUGAGCCGAUGUCGGAUUAGCUAGUUGGCGGGGUAAAGGCCCACCAAGGCGACGAUCCGUAGCUGGUCUGAGAGGAUGAUCAGCCACACUGGAACCGAGACACGGUCCAGCCUCCUACGGGAGGCAGCAGUGGGGAAUAUUGGACAAUGGGCGCAAGCCUGAUCCAGCCAUACCGCGUGGGUGAAGAAGGCCUUCGGGUUGUAAAGCCCUUUUGUUGGGAAAGAAAAGCAGCAGGUUAAUACCCCGCUGUUCUGACGGUACCCAAAGAAUAAGCACCGGCUAACUUCGU
rnacentral:rRNA from 1 species